rnacentral:rRNA from 1 species
GACGAACGCUGGCGGCGUGCCUAACACAUGCAAGUCGAGCGGAGUCGAUCGACGGAAGCCUUCGGGCGGAAGAUGGUUGACUUAGCGGCGGAUGGGUGAGUAACGCGUGGGCAACCUGCCUCGAAGACCGGGAUAACAGCCCGAAAGGGCUGCUAAUACCGGAUGUGGUCAAGGAUCCGCAUGGAUUUUUGAUUAAAGGGGAAACCCGUUUCGAGAUGGGCCCGCGUCCUAUCAGCUAGUUGGUGAGGUAAAAGCUCACCAAGGCGACGACGGGUAGCCGGCCUGAGAGGGUGACCGGCCACACUGGAACUGAGACACGGUCCAGACUCCUACGGGGGGCAGCAGUGGGGAAUCUUCCACAAUGGGCGAAAGCCUGAUGGAGCGACGCCGCGUGAGCGAAGAAGGCCUUCGGGUUGUAAAGCUCUGUCUGGAGGGACGAAGGAAGUGACGGUACCUCCGGAGGAGCCACGGCUAACGUACGUG